rnacentral:misc_RNA from 1 species
CUCCGCCUACUCCUCAGUCAACGCUGCGCGUGAGACCGUGUAAAGCGAAAAGAGGAGCAGGUUCUCCCUUUUUAUCGGACUCCGCGAUCUCUUUUCGUCUCUACCAGGGAACCUUCGCAUUCUCUGGUGUCUGCACUCCACGGCUGUCGUCUUCAUUGUGAACCCUUCAGCGAUUAGCCCUCGAUAUCCUAGCCCGCCCUUAUCUUUAGUGACACCUCAGACAAUGCUAAAGGAAUGGCUGCGCGGGUCCUCGAACGAGGCGGAGAAGCCUGCCGAGGAGAAGAAGCCUGUAUCUCGAAUGGUAGUGGAUGCGGAGAAGCCGCUGGAGACGCGCGAGAGCGCCGCGAGCAAGCGCCGCGAGGCGUAUGAGAAGAAGCUCGCGGAGUCUGCAAAGGAGGGGCCGCCGCAUCCAAGCAAGAUGAUCACCUACGAUGGCAUUUUCCGCAAGGCUCAAGGCGUGCUGUUGGAGGGUAACAACAACGAGAUCCAGGAGGGCAUCACGCUCAACAUCGCUCGCAACGCGCAGAACGCGAUGAUCUCGACGAAGUGGACGCUCGUGAACCCGCAGAUGUCCCACUGGGAGGUGAACUUGCAGAUGAACGGCUUCAGUGAUAUUGUGGCAGCCUCGUGGAACACGUUGAAUCGCUACCAGCUCAUGUACCAGCGCGUCUCCAGCACUGGCGCGAUGCUCGUGACUCAGUUUAUGGCGCAGAAGCAGGGCGGCAUGUCGCAGGGUACUGUGUUUGCCAUGAUGCAGUACCCGUGGCGCUUUGGAGGCUGCACCCAGGUGCAGUAUGUAAAGGACCAGUCGCUGGGCCUGAGCCACGUGCAACGACUCAUUCGCGGCGUCCACGUCGGCACGAAUCUCACUGUCGAGCCUGCGACGCACAAUUCCUACCUGUCGCACGCCAUCUCCCUCACGACCGCGAAGAGGGACGCCGGGUUCAUGGCGGAGAUGACCCCCAGCAAAGGGACCUGGAAGCUUGCGGCGACCGCCUUCGACUGGGCAAUGAACAUGGAUGCCGCUAUUGAACUGGAGUACAUGGAGGGCCGCGACGGCAUGAAGAGUGCCCUCAACGUAGGCUGCCGGAAGAGCUUUGUCGGCGGGGCGCAGCUGACGACCUCGCUGUUAGGCUUCAGUAUGGCCAAGGUGAAUCUGGAUCUGCCCUUUGGAGGCGAGGUACCCGGCGCCAAUCAGCUCCGUCUCACCUUCAACUGCCAGUACGACAUUCACGCCGGUGCACUGAAGCAGGGUCUCAUCUUCACAGCUUAACCCAUACGAUGCUCACGCUUCGGUGUAGUCCGUUGGUUUCGCUCUUCUGCGUCGUUUUCUUAUUUUUCUUCCCUCCUGUCGGCCGUCAUAUGCGUUGUGGCCGUGAUUUGGCGGCCUCUGGCGAGAAGCUCCGAGGCGGCGGGCAUGUGAGACUAAUGCAAGGGGCCGUGCUGAAGUAGGGUACACGGGAGCUGAGAAGGACGGGGGGUCAACUGUUGGAAGGGAGGGGCGUGGGCCACGUUUUCCGGUCACAGCGGUGCGAGCCUGGCAGCACCUUUCCCCCCGCCGUCCCCUCUUCCAGCAACUCUGCCCCCUUCUCUUUCCGUCUUCUCUCCACCUUCUCUCUGGGUUGUUCGUGCUCUUUGCACGACCGGCGCUGCCUCCUGUUGGUUGCUCUGGGGCCGUGUUUCAAUGGGUGAGUGCGCUGAAGAAUGGACAGGCUUGAGCGGGCACGGCGACAGGGAUGGUGGUGGUCGAAGUGGCAUGUGCGAGCAUGAGGACUGGCACGGUGGGAGCUUUCUCGCUUUCUCUCUGUCGGUUGGUCUUGUCAUCCUUUUCGCGACCCGUCUGGAUGUCACGCCGGCCUCUACCCUGCCCUUGCUCUCUGUGUUCCCCCUUACGUCACUGCCACUUUUCCGUUGGCGUUGUCGUCUGAGACUAAAUAACUGCGAAAAGGAAAAAAAAAACCUACAUUGAAAAGGACACUGGCAGGGCGGAAGAGGUGGCAGUCAACGCGCCGCUGAGGUCGCACCUCUUCAUGCCUCUUCUCCUCGCCUUUUUAUUUUCUAUAUAAACUCCCCCAGUCACUAAGCAAGGGAACGCAUCAGAGCCCGUUUUGCCACCCCUCACAGCACC